GGAAAAUACAUGAUGCUGAUAACAAAGUCAAAUGAGAUCCCCUUCCCCCCCAAUCCCCAUCCCCAAUUCUCCCACUGUUUUUGGAGGGCAACCAGUAUAUAGGCUGGACUGGGUACCAAAAUCAUUGUUCAAUGGCAAGAUUGAAUUCAGAUCAAUAGCAAUCCUGAAACAAAACUGAGUGUAAGUAGAGCCAAGCCAACCAACCUGAGAAAAUCUAGCUUGGACUUUAUUAUGAGCUUCAAGUGGAAAAAGGAGUCAUGCAAAGGAAGAGAUAAAGGCCUUCUCAAAUUGUAGAAAAUAAAAUAGAUGCUCUAAACUUUGUCUAACUGGCUUGGGAAAUGAAAACCUGAAGAAUAACAUAUACAGAGAUGAAAACAAAUUAUAGAACUGUGUGCAUAUGUUUGCCCCGAUUUGUGAGUGCAAAUAUGAGAGUGAGAGAAGCAAUUGUCACCUGCAACUAUUAUAAAAGCAUAUGCAUAAUACUUCAUCAUGACUGAACAUAAAUUUAUCCAACCUCCUGGAUAUUGACAUUACAAAAGAGGUGUUGAGUAAAAUGAAAAUGAUGAACAUGAACAGAAGGAAUCAAGUCCUAACUAGUGUCACUGUCACCUAAGUCAAUGAUCAUUUUCAAAUCUUAGGUUUUGAAAUCAGAACCCAAAAAAAAAAAAUCCUAUAUUCUUUUCCACCUCCCCAACCAAAAGUUGCGGCAAAGGAGACUGUCAUAAAGGCAUUGAUAUACCUGAAAAAAAAUGAAAUAGAUAUAUCUAAGUUGAUAGUCAAUGUCCCAUGAAAUUGUGAAAGAUAAUGACAUGCGUGAUGUUAUCUGAUAGAAAUGAAAGAACAAUUCGAUUCAAUUGCCAAUUCAAAAAAUGUAACAACUUGUCAAAUACAAACCAAUAUAGAUGUGUACAUCAAUUUUUAACAUGAAUCUUCAUCACCAUGAUAUAUUGUUGAUACCACUAUAAAACCCUCAAGAGCACUUAAAUUAUCAACAAGUACUAUCUUCAAAUUUCCAUCAAAUCCACAAUUCCUACAGAACCUCUAAACGAAAAAAGAAGAAACCAACCUUUGAAAGUAUAUUUGCACAACAAGAACAAUAAGUGCUUGAAUUUGAUUUUCUGUUUGUGAAUAUUCUCCAUAAUUGACGCCAAUAUAUGAUAAAUCAUACAUAGAUUUCAGGAUACAAUGCAGAUGCAGCUAUGCGCGCUUGUGCAAACACACAAACAGAUGGCAGCAUAAAUUAUAUAUUCUGAUUAUACAGUUGUGAAGCACUUCGCAUCGAGUGAAAUAACGAGGCCUUAAAUACAUCCAAAAUUGCAACACUAAAAGUGUAUAACACACCUUGAGGCAUUAAAGCCCAACCAUCAGACUCACUGGACAAGCUCAAUAUUAAUGUUGCUGAAGCUAUCGCGCUGUGCAAUGGCAUCAUCGAUCCCAUGCAACUCAAUUCCAGCGGUAAUCUGGAGAUUCAAGAGAGGCGUCUUGCAGAAAGAGGGAGCUGAGAGCGGAAGCAGAGCGACGUGAGUGGAGAAAACGACUCGCUAUUGAUUUUAAAGGCGAAGGGCUGUAACCGAGACGAUAACCUGGAGACAAACUUUGAGCCUGAGGACGCCAUUGUCACUGGAGUGGGCGCUUCGCACGUGGGCCGCUGCAACGUAGAUCUACAUUCAUCUACUGACGUAUGGCUGUUGGGGAUUUCGGCCAGGCCAAACCACCCAAUGCUGGAUUACUG
rnacentral:misc_RNA from 1 species